UACGUAGGGUGCGAGCGUUAAUCGGAAUUACUGGGCGUAAAGCGUGCGCAGGCGGUUCGUUAAGUCCGAUGUGAAAGCCCCGAGCUCAACUUGGGAACUGCAUUGGAAACUGGCGGGCUGGAGUGUGGCAGAGGGGGGUGGAAUUCCACGUGUAGCAGUGAAAUGCGUAGAGAUGUGGAGGAACACCGAUGGCGAAGGCAGCCCCCUGGGUCAAGACUGACGCUCAUGCACGAAAGCGUGGGGAGCAACAGG
rnacentral:rRNA from 1 species